AUGAACCCUAGUAAAUUAUUCCACACAGUCUUUUAACCCAAAUUUGUAUCAUGCAAGUGGUCCAGGGAACCCUGAGCCUUGGAUUUGCACUAAACUAGUUCCAGAUUAAUGAGGUUGUACAGACAUUUGGAAGAAACACGUAUAUAUCCCUAGAAUAAGAUUACUAUCUCCAAAUGCAUAGAGAAAACCAACAGAAACAAACACAGAAACCAGGCACAUAAACACUUCCUGUAUUAGAAUUAUUGACACAGACUCUGAAACAACUGUGCUUACAGAGUUUAAAGAAAUGAAAGACAAACUUGAAAACAGUUGCAGGGACCAAAAAACUAUUAAAAAGUGUGUAUCUGAUUUUUUUUUAAGUAGAACUUUUAAAACUGAUACAAUAACCAAAAUUAAGAAUUCGGUGGAUAACUUUUACAUGUCUAAAGAGAGAAUUAGUGAGCUGAAAGGCCAGAAAAUAUUCCAAAUGUAACAGAGACAUUUAAAAAGAGUAUAGUACAGCAGAGAGCAUAAAAGACAUAGAGAAUAGAGUGAGAAAUUUGAGAGACCAGGAUUGCGGUGAACCUGACUCUGCCAUUCACUAGCUGUGUGACCUUGGACAGAUUGCUUAGCCUCUUUGUUUCAUUUUCCUCAUCUAUAAAUUGGGGGUAAUAAUACCUUACGUGUUUGUUAUAAGGAUAAGAUAGUUCGGUUUGUAAAGUGCUUUAUGAGUAUUGAAUAAUUAACAUCAUUUUAAAUGGAGUUCCAGACAAUGAUGAAAGAAUAAGGUAAGUGUAACAUUGUGUGUCAACUAUACUCACAUUAAAAAAGGAAAAAAGUAUAAUAUUUGAAGCAUUAAUGGCUGAGAAUUUUCAUGAACUGAUGGCUGUUACCAAUUUGCAUAUUCAGAAAGUCCAGUGAUUACCUAGCAAGACAAUUCACACCUAUGAUAAAACUGCAGAAAACAAAGAGAAAUCUUGAGAGAAACCAGAGGAAAAAGGAAAAAUUACCUUCAAAGAGCUAUAGAUAGUCUGACCGUUGAUUUCUCAGCAGUAAAAAUGAAAGCCAAAAGAUACUGGAAUGGUAUUUAAAAGCACUCAGUGAAAAAAAGAAUGCCAAGCUAGAAUAAUUUACCCUAAAAAUAUAUCUUUCAAGAGGAAACAUAAAACAAGGUAUUUUCGGACAAAUGGAAAAAACUGAAUUUGCCACCAGCACUCUCACACUAAAGAAAGUUCUAAAAGAGGUACUUCAGGCAGAAAAAAAAAAAAUACCUCUAGUGGGACAUUUGAGUUUUAAAAGAUUAAAGAGAGAAGAAAAUGGUAAAUUAUGUGGAUAAUUCUAUGAACAGUGAAUAUAUAAAACAAAAGUAAUGUCUUAGAAGGAUUUUUUUAAAUAUACAGAAUUUAAAAAUAACAAUCGCAUUUAAGCCAUAAGAUAAAUAGGGUUGUUUUCAAUAACAUGUAAAAUUCUUAUAUUGAUCAGAGCAAGGGUAAUGAUUACUUUUAGACUUUCAGGCAAAUAUGAGUUUAAUUUCUAAGAUAACCACUAAAAGAAUAGAAACAAGGCAUAAUGUCAUAAUAAAAAGGAAAAAUGGAAUGAAAUAAUAUAAACAGACUAAGAAAGGAGAAUAAAUAAAGCAGAAUAUAUGGGAUAUGGAGGAGGCACAAAAUAAUAAGUUAGAAUUUAACCCAAUUACAUUAAAUGUAAAUAGACUAAAUGUUUUAAUUAAAAGACAAAGGUUGUGAUAUUGGAUUUUUUAAAAUUACAACUACAUGUCGUUUGUGGAAAGUACACCUCAUACCUAAGAAUACAACUUUAGGAUGAAGAUGAAAAUAAAAUACAAGAGUGGCAAAAGUAUUCUAGGCCAAUACUAAGCUAAAGAAAAUUGGCAUAGCUCUACUAAUACCAGAGAUAUAGGACAACAAGACAAAUAACCUUACUAAGAUAAAGUCAUUUUACAUAUAUAAGGCAGGAAUAGAAUUAGAGAAAUUUACAGUUCUCUAUCAUGCUGGGAUUAUUUUUAAUGCCCAUCUCUCAGUACCUGAUACAAUAAACUGACCAAAAUAUCAAGAGAUAGAGAUUUGAACAGAUUAUAAAUUUUGACCUAAACACAUAUAGAACACAACACCCAGUAACACCAAGUGAAUAAUCCUUCAAAUACACAUAAAAUGUUAUAAAAAUUAACUUUGCAUUUAGUUGAAAAGCAAGUUUCAACAAAUUUCAGAAGAAGGAAAUUGUACAGGGUGUAUCCUCCAUCUACAGUGCAGUAGAGCAGAAAUUAAUUUCCAAAGAUAACUAGAAAAUACAAUGUGGUUGUAAUUUCUAAGAUCCAAUAACAGCAGGCUACCAAACCUCACACCUUACAUAUUGCCUAGAUUCUAAACUACUGUAUCACCAAAUUUUACCUUGCAUCCCAUAUCAUAACCUAUUCCUUAUCACCUCUGCUUUUUAUCCUGUGAUCAGUUAUACAUGUUGCUCACAUUCAUCUUUGAUUCUCUUCCUCCUGUAUUGACCUUGAUUUUCUUUCUCAAUAGUAACACAGUCUCUUCUUUAAUACAUUUCUUUCUGGUCAUUUCAGAAGAAAAACCCCACAAAACCCAGACCAGCUACUUAAGAUACUAACUCAACCAAGCCCUAUAGGACCAGCAUUCCAGGAAGUUUUAUGCUAGCCCUGCAAACAAGAAAGAAAGACCAUUUCUACCAGGCUGGGGGACGAGAGGACAGUUCCAUCUUUGAGCUAUUUUUGACCAUUGAAAAGCCGCUUAGGUUUUCUUGAGCUGAAUUUUUGCACUCUGCCUAUCGGUUCUAAUUUGACUUCUUGGUCUAUAGUACAGAGCAGGUUGAACUCUUUCACCAUAGCCAUCAAAUCUUUGAGGUAAUAAUCAUGCCCUACCUGAAUCAGACCACCCACCUCGGUCCUUCUGUUGUUUUUUUAAUAACACCGUUUUAUCUCCUCACCAUCCAUCUCAGAAUAAUAUCAAAAGACAGAAAAGGGACAGCAGAAAAGAUAAACAAUGUUAAGGAUCAGCCCAUGAAUUCCACAGCCCAUGAAUAGGAAUUCCAUAGAGAAAGAAUAGACAAUGGAGGAGGGGGACGAUCCACUGGCUCGCUUGCUCCGUGGAGCACGCAACUCCUGAUCUAGGGGUUGUAAGUUUCAGCUCCAUGUUGGAUGUAGAGAUUCCUUAAAAAUCUUAAAAAAAAAAAAAAAGGGAGGGUAUUUCACAGAGAAGGAGAGGGAA